rnacentral:rRNA from 1 species
AUUGAACGCUGGCGGCAUGCUUUACACAUGCAAGUCGAACGGUAACAGGUUAAGCUGACGAGUGGCGAACGGGUGAGUAAUGCGUCGGAACGUGCCCGGUCGUGGGGGAUAGCGCAGCGAAAGCUGCGCUAAUACCGCAUACGAUCUGAGGAUGAAAGCGGGGGACCGUAAGGCCUCGCGCGAUCGGAGCGGCCGAUGUCAGAUUAGGUAGUUGGUGGGGUAAAGGCUCACCAAGCCAACGAUCUGUAGCUGGUCUGAGAGGACGACCAGCCACACUGGGACUGAGACACGGCCCAGACGCCUACGGGAGGCAGCAGUGGGGAAUCUUGGACAAUGGGCGAAAGCCUGAUCCAGCAAUGCCGCGUGCAGGAAGAAGGCCUUCGGGUUGUAAACUGCUUUUGUACGGAGCGAAAGGGUCUCCUCUAAUACAGGGGGCUCAUGACGGUACCGUAAGAAUAAGCACCGGCUAACUACGUGCCAGCAGCCGCAGUAA